rnacentral:rRNA from 1 species
UACGGGGGGGGCUAGCGUUGCUCGGAAUCACUGGGCGUAAAGCGCACGUAGGCGGAUCGAUCAGUCAGGGGUGAAAUCCCAGGGCUCAACCCUGGAACUGCCUUUGAUACUGUCGAUCUGGAGUAUGGAAGAGGUGAGUGGAAUUCCGAGUGUAGAGGUGAAAUUCGUAGAUAUUCGCAAGAACACCAGUGGCGAAGGCGGCUGACUGGUCCGGUUCUGACGCUGAGGCGCGAAAGCGUGGGGAGCAAACAGG